rnacentral:rRNA from 1 species
UACGUAGGGGGCAAGCGUUGUCCGGAUUUACUGGGCGUAAAGCGCGCGUAGGCGGGAGUUUAAGUGUGGCCUCAAAGCCCCCGGCUCAACCGGGGAAGUGGGCUGCAAACUGGACUUCUUGAGGGCGAUAGAGGAGCGUGGAAUUCCUGGUGUAGCGGUGAAAUGCGUAGAUAUCAGGAGGAACACCCAAGGCGAAGGCAGCGCUCUGGGUCGGCCCUGACGCUGAGGCGCGAAAGCGUGGGGAGCGAACGGG